UAAAUAUAAGGUUUCAACAUAAAAAAUACUUUAAUACCGUAUUAAAAACAUUUUGAUAGUUAGUAGGGGAGAUCAAAGAUUAUUGUUUAUGUUUGUAGGAAAGUACUGCGAAGGAAAUAAUUAGUGUAAUUGAAUACUAGAAGAACUUAAAUUUCGUACCUUUUGCAUCAUGGUUUAGCUAGAUUUUAUUUUUAUAUCAAAUUUCUCGAAAUUCAGUGAGCUAUUUUUACUCAACAUUUUAGGGUGUAAUGGAAUUAAUUGUGGCAGAAAUUUUUCUAGAAGUAAGAAUAGAAAUGAAAUUUUAUUCGUACUGAAUGAUAGCUAGUUCUCUUAAAAGGUAUAUAAGUACUUUAGGCUAAUGUUAUUAGUAAUCGUUAGUAUAAAAUAAACUUAGUCUAGUUAAGUUUUCGAGGAUAAGCUCGAGAGCAUAAAAACACUAUAAGCACCUGUUAUUUUUAAUUAAAUUUAAGCUUGAAAAUAGCUAUAAUAAUUGAUUUUGUUAUAAUUUCAUUAAGUAUAAAAGAAGAUAAUUGAUUUGCUUAAAUUAAUUAGGAGAGUAAAGUUUUCAAUUCAAUAAAAUUUGAACUUAUGCUAAAAUGAGUAUUACCUUAGGUUAUAAAAUUUUAAAGUUUCAUGUUUUAAAAUUAGUUUUUGUGUUUUUUAGAUAAAACUAUAAAAAGGAACUCGGCAAAUUUAUAUUCUGCCUGUUUAGCAAAAACAUGGCUCCUUGUAAAAAGAAAAUAAGGAGUCGGACCUGCCCGGUGAAAUUUUUUUAACGGCCGCGGUACUCUGACCGUGCAAAGGUAGCAUAAUCAUUUGCCUUAUAAUUGAAGGCUGGUAUGAAUGGUUUGACAAGAAUAUAACUGUCUCUUUAUAGUUAUUUAGAAUUUUAUUUAUAGGUGAAGAAGCCUAUAUAUGAUUAAUAGACAAGAAGACCCUAUCGAGCUUUAAAUGAAUUAGUAGAUUUAAGCUAAUUAAAUAACAAUUAAAAUAAAGGUAUUAAAAAUUUUAGUUGGGGCGACUGAGGAACAAAGAAAGCUUCCUUUUAAUUUAUACAAACCGUACGAGUUUUGAUCCAAAAUGUUUUGAUUAAAGGAAUUAGUUACCGUAGGGAUAACAGCAUAAUCUCCUUUGAGAGUUCUUAUCGAAAAGGAGGUUUGUGACCUCGAUGUUGGACCAGAAUAUCCCAAAGAUGCAGCAGUCUUUAAAGGUUGGUCUGUUCGACCAUUAAAAUUCUACGUGAUCUGAGUUCAGACCGGCGUGAGCCAGGUCAGUUUCUAUCUUUA
rnacentral:rRNA from 1 species